rnacentral:lncRNA from 1 species
AGAAGAUGAUGUUACUUUCAAUAUGACAGAAGGUGGAUGAAGUGGUGGACUGCCCCUCCACACCUGUGGACACGCCCCCACUGAUAUUCCUUCUAAUUGCAGCGUGGGAGAGGAGGAUAUGACACGCGAUAUCGCAGGGAGUAGAAACACCCCUGUGAUACUGUUCUUAAUAUUCAGGGAGGAAGAGGAUGAUAUUACUCCCAAUACAGACGGGUGUACACCCUCUGUACACCGAGGGUGUACACCUGUCUGUGAAAGAGUUCGUAAUCUCCAGAGGGGGAGAUGAUAUUACUCACAAUAUGGUAAAGAGGCUGUGAGUCCACGGAGGAUCCUCAGAGCCAGCGGGGGAAGAGGGGCUGGCUCUCAGUCCCCGCCUCGCGGGGGUGACUCCCCCCAGUGCGAUGGGGGUCCUAAGAGCCAGUGGGGGAAGAGGGGCUGGCUCUGAGACCCCGCCUCGCGGGGGGUGCCUCCCCGCCCUGUGAUGGGGGUCCGAAGAGCCAGAAGGCUUAGAGGGGCUGGCUCUCAGUCCCCGCCUCGCGGGGGGUGCCUCCUCCCCCUGCGAUGGGGGUCGUAAGAGCCACUGGGGGAAUAGGGGCUUGCUCUCAGUCACCGCCUCGCGGGGGGUGCCUCCUUUCCUUUCUACAUAGACACAGUGACAGUCUGAUCUCUCUUUCUUUUCCCUACAGAUGGACACGCCCCCACUGAUAUUGUUUUUAAUGCAGCGUGGGAGGGGAGGAUAUGACACGCGAUAUCGCAGGUAGUAGAAACACCCCUUUGAUAGUGUUCUUAAUAUUCAGGGAGGAAGAAGAUGAUGUUACUCCCAAUACAGACGGAUGUACACCCUCUGUACACCGAGGGUGUACACCCGUCUGUGAAGGAGUUCGUAAUCUCCAGAGGUGGAGAUGAUAUUACUCACAAUAUGGUAAACAGGCUGUGAGUCCAUCGCGGAUCCUCAGAGCCAGGUGGGGAAGAGGGGCUGGCUGUCAGUCCCCUCCUCGCGGGGGGUGCCUCCCCCACUGCUAUGGGGAUCCCAAGAGCCAGUGGGGGAAGAGGUGCUGGCUCUCAGUCUCCGCCUCGCGAGGUGCCUCCCCACCCUGCGAUCGGGGUCCGAAGAGCCAGGGGGGAAGAGGGGCUGGCUCUCUUCGUGGAUGAUUCUUUUUCCAUUCUCAGGCAGUUUUCUUUUUUCUUUCUUUCUUUUUUUUUUUUUUUGAGACUGAGUCUUGCUCUGUUGCCCAUGCUUUGCUCGAUCUCGGGUGACUGCAACCACUGCCUCCCAGGUUCAAGAGAUUCUCCUGCCUCAGCCUCCUGAGUAGCUGGGACUAGAGGCGUGUGUCACCACACCCAGCUAAUUUUUGUAUUUUUAGUAGAGAUGGGGUUUCACCAUGUUUGCCAGGAUGGUCUCUAUCUCCUGCCCUUGUGAUCCACCCACCUCAGCCUCCCAAAGUGCUGGGAUUGCAGGUGCGAGCCACCGGGUCCAGCCUCUCAGGCGAUUUUCAUACCUGCAUACUCUGGUCACUACUCUGUUAAACAGUCAAGGAGGCUGAGUGCCACGUGCUGACGUCACUAAGAUCAAUACAGCAAACUCUGAAAGAUGGACAGAGAGACAGGAGAUGGUCCUUUAUAAUGCAGUGUGAUCUGUGCUGCAAUAGAGAUGGAAGAGUGUUCUGAUCGGCUGGAAAACAACGCACAUGGGAAGCUGUACAGAAAUGAGUGGGGAAAGUUUUGGAAGCUAGAAGUUCAAAACGAGGUGUUGGCAGCACCAUGCUCUCUCUGAAGAUGCUAGGAAGAAUCUGCUCCAUGCCUUUCCAUUCGCUUCUGGGGUUUCCUGCAAGCCCUGACAUUCCUUGGCUUGUAGAUGCAUCACCCCAGUUUCCGCCCCCAUCAUCACAUGGCCUCCUCUCUGUGUGUGCCUCUGCGUUCCCUCUAUUCUUCUUCUAAGGACACCGACACCAGUCAUAGUGGAUUAAGUGUCCACUCCUAACCAAUUACAUCUGCAACAACCCUAUUUCCAAAUAAAGUCACAUUCUAAGAUUCCUAGGGAGAACAUGAAUUUUUGGGGGUGUGUGGAUACUGUUCAACCUGGGACAUGGAGUAAAUAAAUGGCAAGGAAGAUUACAGAUGACUUUAAGCUAAAGAGGGAGAUAGGGUUAAAUGUAGGACUUUUUUUUUCCAGGACGGGAGAGGUUUAAACAUGUUACUACAUUGAAUAAAUGAAAUAACC